UAUUAUACAAUAAAAGUCGACUAAUUACACAUGUAAAAUGAAGGGUACACAACAGAGACAGUUUUGUGUAACUGAAUUUAACGUAAUACAAAAAUCACAGAAAGUGACAUUGUCCUAACGUGAGGAUCAAGAUGCUGCUGAUAUGACGAUGUGUACAGAAGUAUAGUAUCAAGAUCCUCGCCCGGCGUGCAUUGAUAAACAAAUGGUCGGAUGCGCACUUCGUGUCCGAUACUUUGAAUCAUGGAACAAGCAGUAGUCAAACGUGCUGCCUAUUAGGAAACAAGAUAAUCAGUUUGAACAUGUUUUUUUCCCCCUUGACGCACUGUCUCAUGAUAAGCGCAUUCACAAAAACAUGUUCGAGCUUGAAUUAUGUAUUUCGAUCAAUAUAUGUAUAUAUCAUGUAUUUAUCGACAAAAAUUACACAAAAUUUCAAUAAAUUAAUUACGGUUUAUAAUUUGUAUUAAAUUAAUUAAACAUAUUUAAUUGACAAACGUACCUGAAUAAACGGGGCUACCGAUAUUAAAAUCCACAAAA